UACGUAGGGGGCUAGUGUUGUCCGGAAUCAUUGGGCGUAAAGAGCGUGUAGGCGGUCCGGUAAGUCCGCUGUGAAAGUCGGGGGCUCAACCCUCGAAUGCCGGUGGAUACUGUCGGGCUAGAGUGCGGAAGAGGCGAGUGGAAUUCCUGGUGUAGCGGUGAAAUGCGCAGAUAUCAGGAGGAACACCUAUUGCGAAGGCAGCUCGCUGGGACGUAACUGACGCUGAGACGCGAAAGCGUGGGGAGCAAACAGG
rnacentral:rRNA from 1 species